GACGAACGCUGGCGGCGUGCUUAACACAUGCAAGUCGAACGGAAAGGCCCUGCUUUUGUGGGGUGCUCGAGUGGCGGACGGGUGAGUAACACGUGAGUAACCUGCCCUUGACUUUGGGAUAACUUCAGGAAACUGGGGCUAAUACCGGAUAGGAGCUCCUGCUGCAUGGUGGGGGUUGGAAAGUUUCGGCGGUUGGGGAUGGACUCGCGUCUUAUCAGCUUGUUGGUGGGGUAGUGGCUUACCAAGGCUUUGACGGGUAGCCGGCCUGAGAGGGUCACCGGCCACAUUGGGACUGAGAUACGGCCCAGACUCCUACGGGAGGCAGCAGUGGGGAAUAUUGCACAAUGGGCGGAAGCCUGAUGCAGCAACGCCGCGUGCGGGAUGACGGCCUUCGGGUUGUAAACCGCUUUCGCCUGUGACGAAGCGUGAGUGACGGUAAUGGGUAAAGAAGCACCGGCUAACUACGUG
rnacentral:rRNA from 1 species